UCGCCCCUGCCGUGUUCGUGAUUGGUUAGGAUCUCUUUGACCCAACACUUAUCCGUCGGGAGCCAUCCCUCGCUUUGGUGAGCAUGUUCUGCCCGUACAGAAAAGCCUAAAGAAGCGAUAAGGCGCCCACUUGGACCUUUGGUUCAAGGACCGACCAACACGGCACAAUGGCAGGGGCCUC
rnacentral:other from 1 species